rnacentral:rRNA from 1 species
CGUAGGUGGCAAGCGUUGUCCGGAUUUAUUGGGUUUAAAGGGUGCGUAGGCGGCCCUGUAAGUCAGUGGUGAAAUGCUCUAGCUUAACUAGAGAGGUGCCAAUGAUACUGCAGGGCUUGAGUACAGAUGAGGUAGGCGGAAUUGACGGUGUAGCGGUGAAAUGCAUAGAUAUCGUCAAGAACACCUAUAGCGAAGGCAGCUUACUGGGCUGUAACUGACGCUGAUGCACGAAAGUGUGGGGAUCAAACAGGAUUAGAUACCCUGGUAGUCCACACUGUAAACGUUGAUUACUCGCUGUUUGCGAUACACAGCAAGCGGCUUAGCGAAAGCGAUAAGUAAUCCACCUGGGGAGUACGCCGGCAACGGUG